UAGUUUAAUUGAAGUUCAGUUUAUGAACAUUGGGAACAGAAUUCCAAUGACAAUUUGGUUCUUCGAGCCGGAUUCCAACAUCUGUCCCUGUCUUCCUAAGGUAACACGCCGAAAACCGUGCACGGGCAGGUCAUUGACUCGUAAACUGUCCUGUCCCCUGAAAUUGGGGUUCCAUAUCAGGCCGGUAAAUAUCUAAGGUCGACAGGGACGGUGACGGAAUCCAACCUACAUUGCUUUUCCCAGCCUACAAGACAAAGGUCAGUAAAUCUUUAUUUACGCGGAUUUGGGGAGUAAUACCUUUAUGAUUGCAUGUAGUGGAUAAGGGAGUUAGUGUAGUCUAGGUGUUAAACACCGAAAUAUCCGUUGGGGCAUACUAACCUGGUGACCUGUCUUUAGAAUAUUGUGUGGAGAACCCUGAUAUAGGUAGUAUUCUAUGCAAUUGGAAGAGAGGAAUUGGGUGUAGAGCCAUCCUAGGCAAGGUGUGGGGGGGUCCGUAAUGACCCUAGGUAUCUGUGGCCACUACCAAUGUAAACUAUCUAAUGUUGAGACCUAAAGGUUAAACUGGUCGAUAUACAUUAGGCAAGCUAAUGCGCAUAGAUCUAAAGGAUAACUGAUCUAGAGUAUAUUAGCGGGGAGGGUAGUCGAGAUCUAACAGGGCGCAAAAAUUGGUCUGACUAUUCUAUGGAAGGAGGAAGCACACACACAUAGAUUGUGAGAAGUGAAAAGCACAUACACAGAGAUCGUGUGCAUAGAGUGUGAGCACCCACACAGAGAGGAGUGAUAAACACAUAGAUUGUGAUACACAUAGAAGGUUUAAAUGGAAACAGAGUAAAAGUAUAUAUACAUAGAUUAAAGAUAAUAACAGAUUAUAGAAACACACGCAUAGAUUGUGCAGCCUAAUAAUAAAUAGUUAUUGAAUAACCAUGGGUGGCAAACCCUCAAAGGAGGUGCAGGAAUUAACUGGAGAUGAGCAGUAUAUUGAGUUAAAUGUUAUAAAAUAAAUAUUUAUUUCAGUCCAAUGUGGAGAAGGAAGUAUGAAUCUGAUGGAAGUUUGGACAUAGAAAAGUCGGGACUAAUGAUAAGAAAGAUACAUAAGGUAUGUGGGGACAAGACAGGGAAACAGCAGGUCGAGGGUUAGACAUAGCCAGGGUGUGGCUGUCUGAAGCCUGGAGAAGAAGGCGAGAAGGCAAGUGUAGAGAAAGAGAGAGAGAAAGUUGAAGAAGGAUAUCAGCAGCGAAAAAAUUAUGUGCGUGUGAGAUAGGUUUACUGACCAGUUAAAAGUAACUUGUCUAUGUGUGAGACCUAAUAACUUAUCAAAAGUCACAAUAGUAAUUAUUCCUAAAUUCUGAGAAGGGGAAAAAGAGACAGAAACAACGAGGAAGAGAGCAGAGGGUGAAAAGAACAAGGAACUUACUACGAAAGUUGAAAAGUAGGUUUGGCAAUUUACAUGUUACUUUUAAGUCUUGGACAUUUCAUAAUUGUGAAGCCGAAAGAGAAGAGACAGUUGAAAAGUUGGUUUUACUCUUACGAUAGAGGAAAGGCAGAACGUUGUUGGAGUAGAGGUUAUAUAUUUUUUAGAUUGUUUAGUUAACAAUAGUGAAUUUGAGCAGGAAGUAAUGUAUUCUAACAUUAUAAUCUGUUUCCAUUACGUGGAACAAUGUCAGGUCAGUAAAGUGAAUUGCAGGUUGAGUUAAUUUUUAUUUUACAGGGACGGUGCACCUUAAUCACAGUAGUGUGUGUCUAAUGGCAGGGUAUUCCACAAAGGGGAAG